rnacentral:rRNA from 1 species
GUGGUGCAUGGUUGUCGUCAGCUCGUGUCGUGAGAUGUUGGGUUAAGUCCCGCAACGAGCGCAACCCUCGUUUCUAUGUUGCCAGCGCGUUAUGGCGGGGACUCAUAGGAGACUGCCGGGGUCAACUCGGAGGAAGGUGGGGACGACGUCAAAUCAUCAUGCCCCUUAUGUCUUGGGCUUCACGCAUGCUACAAUGGCCGGUACAAAGGGUUGCGAUACUGUGAGGUGGAGCUAAUCCCAAAAAGCCGGUCUCAGUUCGGAUUGGGGUCUGCAACUCGACCCCAUGAAGUCGGAGUCGCUAGUAAUCGCAGAUCAGCAACGCUGCGGUGAAUACGUUCCCGGGCCUUGUACACACCGCCCGUCAAGUCACGAAAGUUGGUAACACCCGAAGCCGGUGGCCUAACCCCUUGUGGGAGAGAGCUCUCGAAGCUGAGACUAGCGAUUGGACUU